CGGACGGGGCGACGACGAUCAAACGAUGGCAACGAUGACGGCGACGACAACGGACAGACGUUUCGUCUCAAACAAAACGAUUGAAGUAGUAAAUAAUUUAUAUACGAAUCAAUUAAACUUCUAUUCAAAGCAAAUAUGCAGCUGAUUUAAAGCUUUUUUGAAUUUUAAUUGAAUUUGUUUUUCUUUUAAUAUUGAUAUUGAUUCAGUACCAAAUCUGCUCUCUGAAUUGUUUUGGCCCGUUGCGUUGCCAACGUUGCAAAACUACGAUUUAAACUAAAUUAGAAGUAGGUAGGUUGGUAGUAUUCCAAUGGUGAUGGUAAUGUACCUACUUGUUUGGGAUUUAUACGCACAGUAAAUGCGAAGUAUAAAGUAUCUUCUCCUUGGAUUUAGUUGGAUUCCCAAUCCGAUUCUUGUUGAGGUGUGAUCGUCAUCGUCGUAGUCGUAGUCGUAGUCGUCGUCGCAUCGCUGUCGACGACGUUCGUAGUCGAAUCGAUUGAAGUCGUGAGAUUGAGGUGAAUAUCUCUUGGUUUCGGGGUGAAUUGAAAAAAACACCUAGACUGCGGGUAUAGAUUAAACCUAUGUGGCGAUAUAAUUGCAGACGGACAUACGAACGGACGCGACGGUGUGUUGUAUUGCUUCAGCUGUAGCUAUAACUGCAGGUACGUGUGCAGUGAAAAAGUGGUCCCCAGUCAAAUAUAAAGAAUGAUUAAUAUGUUUCUACGGGCAUUCUAAACACAACCAACCUGCAGUCGAUUGAAUAAUGGCUAAAGGAAAGACACAUACGGAAAACACCGCAGUUAAGAAAUCUACAGAUGAUGAUAAAUAGCGAUGCGAAACAUGGUUUUCCAUCUGCCUCGUUUUGUUUUAAUAAAUAUUUUAGGUACAUUUAAUGUAUUUUAUUAAAUGUAUUGCAAAUCAAGUUUUUAUCUCUUUAUUUAUUUUCAAUCCAACUUAAAGAUGGAUUGAUUUCAAUUUCGAGUGCACAAAGUAAAGGAUCGAUCGUAAGGGCUGAAGAUUUGAUUUGCAAAAAGGUAUCGAGAGAUACUCAACUCAACAUUGAUCUGGUGUGCGAGAUCAAAAACUAGUUUGACACGCCUUACCUGAUGGUCAGUCAGUCAAUACAAGAAAUAAUAAAAGCACAAAAAAUGCAAUAAAAUGAAAAUAAAAAUAAAAAAAAUCGUAUGUGGUUUACUUGCGUGCAAAGAGUUUUAGUAGACGGCAAAAAAAGCAAAUACAAAUAAAAAUAAAACAAAUCAAAGAAGUUGAAUUUGUGAAACUUCGAUAUGUCCAUUAGUGUAAUACAGUAAUGUUCCACUAAUCGGAUUCACCAAUCAUUUCGCAAUUUUCUAAUAAAUAACUCAAGGUUCAGACGUGAAUGAAAAAAAAAACAAAGAAAUAAAAAUACUUAGUUGAAAAUUGUGGUACAAAAAUAAAUAUAAGUAACGAUGGAUGCCACGGUCAUCUCGUUGGACAAGCAUCUUGUCUCAUGUAGAAAACAGACUAGCUUGGCAGACAUUACUAUUUAUUUAAAAUUUAAAUAAAUUUAAAUAAUUAUUAAAAAUAGCA